rnacentral:tRNA from 1 species
GGUGACUCAGUGGUAGAGCACUUGCCUUGCAUGCAUGAGACCCUGGGUUCGAUUCCUCAGCACCA